UAAUACAGAGGGUGCGAGCGUUAAUCGGAAUGACUGGGCGUAAAGGGCGCGUAGGCGGAUUAGAAAGAGAUAUGUGAAAGCCCUGGGCUUAACCUAGGAAGUGCAUGUUUAACUAAUAAUCUGGAGUAUGAGAGAGGGUGAUAGAAUUUCCGGUGUAGCAGUGAAAUGCGUAGAUAUCGGAAAGAAUGUCGGUGGCGAAGGCGAUCACCUGGCUCAAUACUGACGCUGAGGCGCGAAAGCGUGGGGAGCAAACAGG
rnacentral:rRNA from 1 species